rnacentral:lncRNA from 1 species
CACACACACACACAAAGCAAGUGAUUAACAGGAGGGGGAAGAGGGAGGUGAUGUGAGGGGGAAGCAAUGGGAUCGACCUGGCUGCCUUGUUGGUGUCUUACAUGUGCUACUCAGUCACAGGGGGGUGGCCAUGCAGGGGUGGGGAACUCACCCCUUGCCAGCCCUGCUGCUGCUUUGGAGGAGGAAAACCCAAGCUGCCUGCUCUUGCCAGAGUUUAAGGAGGUUGUAGUGCAUGGAAGGAGACCUGCCACAGGGGCUGUGAACAUGUGUUGGGAUACAUGAAUACCAUAAAUAAGAAUUACCUGAUUUACAGUGAAUUACCAAUAGGAGAGGAAAAUGAAAGGCAAACAGAAAGGGAAAAGAACCAAAAAGGACAGAAGCAGGAAUGUGAAAUCUCAGUAAUUGGAAAUCGGCCAAAUUCAGGUAAAGCAAUGGGUUUUUUCCAUAGUUAUUUUAACUGCAACAUACCUGU